GGACUACAGGGGUAUCUAAUCCUGUUUGCUCCCCACGCUUUCGUGUCUCAGCGUCAGUACUCGUCCAGUUGGCCGCCUUCGCCACCGGUGUUCCUCUCGAUAUCUACGAAUUUCACCUCUACACCGAGAAUUCCACCAACCUCUCCGGUACUCAAGCAACGCAGUUUCGGGUGCACUUCCUGGGUUGAGCCCAGGGAUUUCACAUCCGACUUGCAUCGCAGCCUACACACGCUUUACGCCCAGUAAUUCCGAACAACGUUUGCACCCUCUGUCUUACCGCGGCUGCUGGCAC
rnacentral:rRNA from 1 species